CACAUUUACUUAAAGUCAGGUUCUAUCUCAGUCUGGAUAUUUCCUGGGCACCAUGGACCUCAUCCAGAAGAACAUGAAAACUUUGUGGUUUUUCGUCUUUCUGGUGGCAGUCCCCAGAUAUGUCCUGUCCCAGGUGCAGCUGAAGGAGUCUGGACCUGGCCUGGUGAAGCCCUCGCAGACCCUGUCCCUCACCUGCUCUGUUUCUGGAUUCUCUUUAACUGAUUAUGCUGUAAACUGGAUCCGCCAGGCUCCAGGAAAGGGACUGGAGUGGGUAGGAUUGAUAAACUAUGCUGGAAGCACGAGCUACAAACCAACUCUUCAGUCCCGACUCAGCAUCACCAGGGACACCUCCAAGAAUGAAGUUUCUUUAAAAGUGAGCAGCCUGAGAACCGAGGACACAGCCACGUAUUACUGUGCAAGAGACACAGUGAGAGGAAGUCAGGGUGAGCCCAGACACAAACCUCCCCUGAGGGCACAGGAGGGGCUGGGCUGCAGGGGGUGCUCAUGA